AGAGUUUGAUCCUGGCUCAGGACGAACGCUGGCGGCGUGCUAAUACAUGCAAGUUGAACGAUGAUUUCUGGUACUUGUAUCAGAAUGAAGAGUAGCGAACGGGUGAGUAACGCGUGGGUAACCUACCUCUUAGCGGGGGACAACUAUUGGAAACGAUAGCUAAUACCGCAUAACAAUAUUAAACACAUGUUUAAUAUUUGAAAGUACCAAUUGGUACACUAGGAGAUGGACCCGCGUUGUAUUAGCUAGUUGGUAGUGUAAUGGACUACCAAGGCGAUGAUACAUAGCCGACCUGAGAGGGUGAUCGGCCACAUUGGGACUGAGACACGGCCCAAACUCCUACGGGAGGCAGCAGUAGGGAAUCUUCGGCAAUGGACGAAAGUCUGACCGAGCAACGCCGCGUGAGUGAAGAAGGUUUUCGGAUCGUAAGACUCUGUUGUUAGAGAAGUACGUUGUGUAGAGUGGAAGAUUACACAAGUGACGGUAUCUAACCAGAAAGGGACGGCUAACUACGUGCCAGCAGCCGCGGUAAUACGUAGGUCCCGAGCGUUGUCCGGAUUUAUUGGGCGUAAAGCGAGCGCAGGUGGUUUAAUAAGUCUGAUGUAAAAGGCAGUGGCUCAACCAUUGUGUGCAUUGGAAACUGUUAGACUUGAGUGCAGUAGAGGAGAGUGGAAUUCCAUGCGUAGCGGUGAAAUGCGUAGAUAUAUGGAGGAACACCGGUGGCGAAAGCGGCUCUCUGGACUGUAACUGACACUGAGGCUCGAAAGCGUGGGUAGCAAACAGGAUUAGAUACCCUGGUAGUCCACGCCGUAAACGAUGAGUGCUAGUUGUUUGGGGCUAUCCAGCCCUAAGUGACGCAGCA
rnacentral:rRNA from 1 species